rnacentral:lncRNA from 1 species
CUAUGAGGAGAACCUUAUUGGCUCGGACAUCAUAUUUUUUAGGUAGGUAAUCUUUAUUUCAUUAUUAUCAGUUAAUAUUCCUGAGCCUAAGAAAUAGUACUAUGGGGAGAAUCAGGCAACACCUAAUAUGUAUGUCGUUUGAGAAAAAUGAAACUUCCUACUUCCCAACGGUCGGUUACGUAUGUACAUGUACAAAGCACCGUCUUAGACAAAUAUAUCAUUCACCAAGUUUAGUGAAAGUUAGCUUAAAUACCAUGUAUUUUUCCGCACGCAGAUUAUUGCCUACUGUAGGCCAUCCUCUAUAUAUAUAUGAUAGUCUAAUAAUAGUCAAGCAUGACAAAAAACUUCACUCCGGUAAUUUCGUUGCUCCAUAAGAGCUAACAAUUGUUAAAAAAACAAAUCACAUACUCCAUGUGUCCCAAAUUAAGUAACUCAACUUUGUACUAACUUUGUAAUGAUUUCAUCUCUUUCUAGGAAUAGGCACUGUAUUUUCACUCUUAUGCAAAAAGACUUUAAAUCACGAUUUUUAUUUUAUUUUUCAUGAUAUUCAGAGGAAUGUUAGCUUGAGUACCAUACAGAGGGUGACGCAAGUGGUACUUGACAUACCAUGGCGUCCAAUGUCUAGGUUAGCAGACCCACAUGAUGUUUUGCUCUUUGCGUUCUGUACAUCAGCAAUGGACAAGAGCAAUGAUGGAGUCCUAAGAAAGAACCCAAAAAUAACUGCACUGUCUUAUUCACAUUUGAGGGCAAAACUACUUCAAGGAAUGAGGUUAAGCAAAGAUCGGUGCUCAAGAUGUUACGAGACACUUCUCAUGCAUGUUGAUAUUCUCCUUUUUUGAGUUUCCUUUAAGGUGCAGUAUUUUGUUUUAUUUGUUAUACAAAAUAGUGCAGCUGUUUGUGAUUUGAUAUGAAGGCAUGUAAUUCCUUGGAAAACUCCCACACUAUAUUUUGAUCCAAGUUCAGUUGUACUGAUGUCGAUUAAUACAUUUACAGUACAUUAUUAAUCUCUUUGUCGUAACGCGACAUGUCACCACUCAGUCUAUUUACUGUACAACACUAUUGAUCUUGAUUCAAUCAGGACCGAAAUGGUGCAAGCAAAGGAUCUUUUUGAAUGGGAAACAAUAGGAGAGUGUCAGAAUUAUAUUAAUAUACUAUUAAAUAAAGUAUAGCAUAAGGAUCUUUGGAAGAAAUCUUUGUAAUAAUAGACAUUUAAGGAAAACAUAAGGAAAUAAGCUAUAAGUUGUUGUAUCCAUAAAUUGAACUGAUUGAGGUGUUUGUUCUUGACUCUACCUGUCGAGAUCAUACUUAAGACCCCUCUUCCACUUCUGUAUCUAAGGGCUUUCAUCCUCAGAAGUCUUCCCAUUCAUACACUAUAUAUUCCAGCAGCUCAAAACGAAAUACCCCACUGCAAAUGUUUCCCUUAUGGAAUCACGGGCUAAGGCCACUUUAACAAAAACUGAUAUAAAUCUAUGCCUAUUGGGGAUGAAUUCUUACCAACAUUCUAUAGCAAAAGAACAGUCCCAAAGGAAGUGUGGGUUUGUUUUUUCUGACUUAUCUGGGCAUAGAACAUUCUACAUGUAUGCCUAUUCUAGGAAGAGAAAGAAUUUCCUAUGCAGUAGAUUGCCAGGUAUAUUUUGAAAUGUAAUUCCUUAUUUUUUUGCAAGGAGGUUUACAUAGAUUUAAGAUUAUUCAUUAUUAUUCUAAGAAUUCUGAAUUUGUGUUUUCUAUUUAAUUAUCCUAACUAUUCUCUUUUGGUGCAUUCUUCAUUUGCCAUUCUCAUCUAAUAUCAUAUAGUAUGUUUUUGUUCCUAUGUGAAACUAAUAAUUCACAUCUCUACCUUAUAC